AGAGCAAGUAAAAUAUUACGCUACAGUGCUACUGGCCCAUAAUCAGGCAACUGCAGAGUCUUAGGGGGUUAUCUAAUGUAGUCUUGGGGUGGCUGGAUAGACUUCCCAAAGAAGGUGAUGCCGAAGCUGAGGUCGGAAAUUACGAAGAUCAGCUAUCAAACUUGGAAAUCAUGUCUUAGAGAUCAAGGAGCCAAGAGAUGAGACAAGCCUGGGUUCCUAGGUGAUAGGGUGUGGCUGUGUCCCCACCCAAAUCUCGUCUUGAAUUGUAGCUCCCAUAAUCCCCACAUGUUGUGGAGGGACCCUGUGGAAGAUCUUUAAUAAAUGAAAUAAAUGUGACUGUAUGUCCUACAUCCCAUUCCUGUUGUCUUCCAUGUCUCCUCAGAGAUUGUGCCUGCAGCCUGGCCUGUUGCCCACAGCGGUCUACCUGCCACACUGGGAAAGAUCGAGCAGAGACAGAGAAGAAAAGGAGGCUCCAUUUUUCAGGCUGCUCUCCCGCAGGCUCAUGUUUUGUGUUCAUGCCAGGCAGAGAACACAAAAUGUUCCAAUAAAUAAGUAUCAAAGCAUCUACUUGUUUCCAAAGUUAUUUGGGUCAGCAUUUUCCUCCACCCACCACUUAAAACUGAUUUGUUUCAUACAUUUGAAAUGUAUGAAAAGCCAGAAAUCCAGGACCCACCCUGGCCUGCUCCCUUUUUCUCACCUACUGUGUUAAGAUGUCUACACUUUUACCUCUGCUUGCCUGAUACAACCACCACCAGUCACCUCACAGAAUAACUCACUCCUUAAGAAUCUGAUCAGGAAUCAGCCUUCCCUGAUCACAAACACUGAGUUUAGAAGUCCCUCCACAGUGUCCCCCGUAACCCUGUGCUACCUCACUGCCUCAUAGUUUAGUGCCGUUUGUGUACAUGCCUAUCUUCGUCCAUGGAUCCAGAACAACUUGUAAAAAUGACUGUACUUAUCACCUUCAGUAUUCAAUGACUAAACUAUAAUUUUAACAUAUCUGGCAGAAUGAAUCACUUGGGGAUUUCUGCCAACACUACCAAUAUAUUACUCCUAAUUUGUAAUUAUUACUUAGCAUGGAUUAUAGUACCGGCUGUUGGAGAGCCAAUGUGGCAGACCCUAAGUGGAAUAAAAUGUCAGUAGCAGUCUAGGAGCAUAUAUUUAUUGGAAUAGAUCAUUCAUUCAUUUGUUCAUUAACUAAUUUGUUCAUUAAAUAAACAUUUAUUAAGC
rnacentral:lncRNA from 1 species